GUCCCAAAGAGCCCUAUUCCCUACAUCAGGGCUUCUCAAACCACUUCCCUGGGACCCCCAGACCUUACACAAUGUUGUUGUAGCCCUGAACUAGGUCACUUGAUUCAAGUAGUCAAAGGGCUUGACGUUUAGUUGACAAGUUGAAUCAGGUGUGCUCGCCAAUUAUCAUACUUGAGUAAAAGUAAAGACAGAAAAUGACUCGAGCGAAAGUGAAAGUCGCCCAGUAAAAUGCUACUUGAGUAAGUCUUAAAGUAUUUGGUUUUAAAUAUACUGAAGUAUAUAUAUAUAUAUAUGUAUAUGCCAUUUAGCAGACGCUUUUAUCCAAAGCGACUUACAGUCAUGUGUGCAUACAUUCUACGUAUGGGUGGUCCCGGGAAUCGAACCCACUACCCUGGCGUUACAAGCUCCAUGCUCUACCAACUGAGCCACAGAAGGACCACAUGUAUAAAUCAUUUCAAAUUCCUGAUAUUAAUCAAACCAGACGGCACCAUUUUCAGUUUGUUAUUUAUUUACGGACAGCCAGGGUCUCCAACGCUCAGACAUCAUUUAAAAACAAUGCAUUUGUGUUUAUUAGUCAGUCUGCCAGAUCAGAGGCAGUAGAGACGACCAGGGGAUGUUAUUUUGAUAAGUGCGUGAAUUUGACCAUUUUCCUCUCCUGCUAAAGCAUUCAAAAUGUAACGUGUACUUUUGGGUGUCGGGGAAAAUGUUGGGAGGAAAAAGUGCAUUUAUUUUCUUUAGGAACGUAGUGAAAUAAAAGUUAAAGUUGUCAAAAAUAUAAAUAGUAAAGUACAGAUUCCUCCAAAAACUACUGAAGUAAAAUGACUUUAAAGUACUAGUUAAGUGGUUUCCACCCCUGGUGCUGUGGAAUAGAUGAAAACCAUAGAACGACUGAUUGUCCCCAAGAGAGGAUGGAUACACACUGCCCUACAUAAGUGCACUACUUUUCACCAGAGCCCUAUGGGUUUGCCUGGUCAGAGGUAGUGGUAUAAGUAAAUAAUUGGGUGCUAUUUAGGACACAUGUCCAGGUGAAGGGUCACACAGCCAGGUGAAGGGUCACACAGCCAGGUAAAGGGUCACACAUCCAGGUGAAGGGUCACACAGCCAGGUAAAGGGUCACACAGCCAGGUGAAGGGUCACACAUCCAGGUGAAGGGUCACACAGCCAGGUAAAGGGUCACACAGCCAGGUGAAGGGUCACACAGCCAGGUGAAGGGUCACACAGCCAGGUGAAGGGUCACACAUCCAGGUGAAGGGUCACACAUCCAGGUGAAGGGUCACACAGCCAGGUGAAGGGUCACACAUCCAGGUGAAGGGUCACACAUCCAGGUGAAGGGUCACACAUCCAGAUGAAGGGUCACACAUCCAGGUGAAGGGUCACACAUCCAGAUGAAGGGUCACACAUCCAGGUGAAGGGUCACACAUCCAGGUGAAGGGUGGUUGACAUCCAGCUGAAGGGUCACACAUCCAGGUGAAGGGUCACACAUCCAGGUGAAGGGUCACACAUCCAGGUGAAGGGUGGUUGACAUUCAGGUGAGUGGUCUCUUGGUGAUGUCCUGCUCUGUCAGGUAGUAGUUGAGGUAUCCUCCCAGAGCGCUCACUGACACGCCUGUUAUGUGACUGGAACAACCAUCUGGAGGGAGG